rnacentral:ncRNA from 1 species
UCGCCUUGAACUAGACAAGGAACUGAGGGACAAUAACUGUAUUCGAGAAAAGGACAAGUGCAGACUGGAGGGAGGCGAAGUUAGAUUACCAGUGACACCAGACCGAUAGCGAACAAGCACCGUGAGGGAAAGAUGAAAAUAACUUUGAAAAGAGAGUUAAAUAGUACGUGAAACUGUUAAAAGGGAAUCUUAUGAGGCUAGUAUUUGGACUUGUCAUAAUCAAUUAGUCGUAUAGCGGACUGGUUCACUCGGGAGUGUUAAAACCUGGAGUUGGCAGUGUAAUUGACCGAUUAGUAGACUUGUGAUUUGUUCAGGCCAGCAUCAGUUUGAGGUGGUGUAUAAGGGUAUUCGGAAGGUGAUUUGACCCCUUGUGGGUGGAAUGUUAUAGCCGUUUGCCACUGCAUGGCGUCAGACUGAGAAGUCGCGGAACGUGCCUUUUGGCUAGCUCCCUGCUGCAUAGGCGGCCCGAAAUGUAGUGUGACACAAGUCCGCUAUAACAGAGGGACGACUACGAGGUAGGUGCAGUAUAAACGUUUUGAGGAUGUUGGUGAAAUGGCCUUAUCAGUCCCGUCUUGAAACACGGACCAAGGAGUCUAACAUAUAUGCGAGUCUUUGGGUGACAAACCCGCAGGCGCAAUGAAAGUGAAGGCUAACAUGGUUAGCUGAGGUGAGAUCCGCAAGGAGCAUCAUCGACCGACCUGAAUGGUUUCCUGAAAGAUUUGAGUAGGAGCACAUAUGUUGGGACCCAAAAGAUGGUGAACUAUGCCUGAAUAGGGUGAAGUCUGAAGAAAUUCAGAUGGAAGCUCGUUUGCUGUUCCAAUUUGCACUUUGUGCGGUUGCUGUUUCAAUUUCAACUUUCAACAGUUGCUGUUUCAAUUUCAACUUUCUACAGUUGCUGUUUCAAUUUCAACUUUGAGCAGUUGCUGUUUCAAUUUGCACUUUGUACGUUUGCUGUUUCAAU